UACGGAGGGGGCUAGCGUUGUUCGGAAUUACUGGGCGUAAAGCGCACGUAGGCGGCUUUGUAAGUUAGAGGUGAAAGCCCAGGGCUUAACCCUGGAAUUGCCUUUAAGACUGCAUCGCUAGAAUCGUGGAGAGGUGAGUGGAAUUCCGAGUGUAGAGGUGAAAUGCGCAGAUAUCAGGAAGAACACCCGUGGCGAAGGUGGCUCGCUGGGACGGUACUGACGCUGAGACGCGAAAGCGUGGGGAGCGAACAGG
rnacentral:rRNA from 1 species